CGCCCGGGCGCCGCCGCGUCCCCGAGGGCGUGCGUGAGUUCGCGCGGUGGGUGCGGGUGGGAGCGCGGUGUACCCGGGGAGGCGCGCGACCAUCUCGCCUGCAGCCGAGGGAGCGGCGCCCGUGUGUGAGGGCGGCUCGCGGGCGCCGGAGCCUACUGUGUUUGGGGUGUUUCACUUGUGCUUAAACUCCUAAGUCCUCCAGCCUGACGCUGUGUCCUCCAUAGGCUCAGCCUGUGUGUGUUGUAGAAGAGCCUGGAGCUACACACCUGGUGUCUCUUCAUAGGUACCCUAAGUAUAACAAAGUAAAUAGAAGUUUUUAGACCUGGAGCAGACUUCCUGACCUCCCAGGCCUGCUUCUGAAAUCUGGAUGGACGCCUUCUCGACCCCACAACUCUUGUAUUCUGCAUGUUUGUAAAGUCAGCACGAUGUGGAUGAUGCCAGAGUCUACUGCCAGCUGGGAAAGCCCCUGAACCCUCUGCAGCAUUCCUGAUGCAGACAUGCAGCAAUGCUGGAUGGAGAAAAGUAUGACUUACAGAGUGGCCAGGUGCUGUUGGCAUGGAGGCUUGGAAUGCUGCCAGGAAAGCUGUCAGGACCUACUGAUGUGACAGGUGAGGGUGGGAAGAAUUCAGAGGAGAGCAGUGGAGAAGAUGAGAGAAGUUAGUGGCCAUAAGGCCACCUGCAGAGACAUGAGCUGCUGUUGUCCCUUAGCUCCCCCUUCCUAAGCUUCCCUUCAGGAAGAGAGAUCUAUUGAGUUGUUCCCAAACGCGUGUGAAGAAGAUGAUCACUGCAAUUCGGGAGGAGUUUGUGGUGGUCACGGAUGUGCACCACUCAGAUCUUCCUGUAAGAGAAUUUGCUUCAGGGAGUGAAGUUGCUGAACGGCCUGCAGCUCUGUGUUCUGGGAUCCCAACACUGUACUUGUCCACGUGCAUCAUGGCCUAUGACAGCACCAUGGGAUUAGGAGGGCAGGGCCGUGCUAUCUCCCUGCAUUUCUGUGCUCUUUUCUCAAGGAUCCUCAGGUCUACUGCAGCAUGAAGCUUCCUUCUUUCCUUUCACCAGUUUCAGCUGACAUCAUAAUCCAAAGACUUUUCCUAAUCUGUUGCUUCCUGUGUCCCUUAUUCUUCAUGUGUUCACUCUGUGAAGUCUCUGGUAUAUCUGUUUCUGUUUCCUUAAGGCCUGAACCAAUACACCUAUGGGCUUUGUAAAGUUUGAACACACACACAUGCACAUGCGUACAGGGCUUGCUCAAAGAGAAAUGGAAAGUCACAUCUAGAACUUCCUGAAACUGAAUUGCAAUUCAGACUUCACUGUUGCACCACUACAUUCCUAUAUUAUCUAUGGAGAGCUGACUUCAUGGAAUAAUGGAAUGAGCUCCUGAAGGCACAGAGAGUUCAGUUUGCUGAUUUCAGUCUGCAAAAAUGAGGUGGUGUCUUUCAGGGUGCAGUAUAUUCAGUAAAACAAACUACUCUACGGGGGUGUCUCUAACAGUAGGAAAAGAAUGAGGAAGCUUUCUGAAUACUGA